UUGGUCUUGGUUCCUGGCAGUGAC
rnacentral:siRNA from 1 species